UACGUAGGGUGCGAGCGUUGUCCGGAAUUAUGGCGUAAAGGGCUCGUAGGCGGUUUGUCGCGUCGGGAGUGAAACACCAGGGCCUUAACUCGGUCGCUUGCUUUCGAUAACGGCAGACUAGAGGCAUCGCAGGGGAGGAACGGAAUUCCUGGUGUAGCGGUGAAAUGCGCAGAUAUCAGGAGGAACACCGGUGGCGAAGGCGGUUCUCUGGGCAUGUCCUGACGCUGAGGAGCGAAAGUGUGGGGAGCGAACAGG
rnacentral:rRNA from 1 species